AAUGGGCGCAAGCCCGACGGAGCGACGCCGCGUGUAGGACGAAGGCCCUUGGGUUGUAAACUACUGUCAGAGGGGAUGAAUGGUUGGGGGCUAUCCUCCUUCCUUGACAGAGCCUCAGAGGAAGCACGGGCUAAGUACGUGCCAGCAGCCGCGGUAACACGUACUGUGCGAACGUUAUUCGGGAUCACUGGGCUUAAAGGGUGCGUAGGCGGCUUUAUAAGUCAGGUGUGAAAUCCCACGGCUCAACCGUGGAACUGCGCUUGAAACUAUUUAGCUUGAGUAUCUCAGGGGUGAGCGGAACUUCCAGUGGAGCGGUGAAAUGUGUUGAUAUUGGAAGGAACACCGGUAGCGAAAGCGGCUCACUGGAGGAUGUCUGACGCUGAGGCACGAAAGCCAGGGGAGCGAACAGGAUU
rnacentral:rRNA from 1 species